rnacentral:tRNA from 1 species
UCCCUGGUGGCUCAGAUGGUAAAGAAUUUACCUGCAAGGUAGGAGACCCAGGUUUGAUCCCUGGGUGGGGAA